UUAAGCAUAUCAAUAAGCGGAGGAAAAGAAACCAACAGGGAUUGCCUCAGUAACGGCGAGUGAAGCGGCAAAAGCUCAAAUUUGAAAUCUAGCACUUUCAGUGUUCGAGUUGUAAUUUGAAGAAGGUAACUUUGGUUUUGGCUCUUGUCUAUGUUCCUUGGAACAGGACGUCACAGAGGGUGAGAAUCCCGUGCGAUGAGAUGCCCAAUUCCAUGUAAAGUGCUUUCGAAGAGUCGAGUUGUUUGGGAAUGCAGCUCUAAGUGGGUGGUAAAUUCCAUCUAAAGCUAAAUAUUGGCGAGAGACCGAUAGCGAACAAGUACAGUGAUGGAAAGAUGAAAAGAACUUUGAAAAGAGAGUGAAAAAGUACGUGAAAUUGUUGAAAGGGAAGGGCUUGAGAUCAGACUUGGUAUUUUGCGUUCCCUUCCUUUUUGGUUGGGUUCCUCGCAGUUUACUGGGCCAGCAUCGGUUUGGAUGGUAGGAUAAUGACAUUGGAAUGUAGCUUUACUUCGGUGAAGUGUUAUAGACUUUGUUGAUACUGCCUAUCUAGACCGAGGACUGCGUCUUUGACUAGGAUGCUGGCGUAAUGAUCUUAAGCCGCCCGUCUUGAAACACGGACCAAGGAGUCUAACGUCUAUGCAAGUGUUUGGGUGUAAAACCCGUACGCGUAAUGAAAGUGAACGUAGGUGAGAGCCUUUUAGGUGCAUCAUCGACCGAUCCUGAUGUCUUCGGAUGGAUUUGAGUAAGAGCAUAGCUGUUGGGACCCGAAAGAUGGUGAACUAUGCCUGAAUAGGGUGAAGCCAGAGGAAACUCUGGUGGAGGCUCGUAGCGGUUCUGACGUGCAAAUCGAUCUACGAACUUGGGUAUAGGGGCGAAAGACUAAUCGAACCAUCUAGUAGCUGGUUCCUGCCGAAGUU
rnacentral:rRNA from 1 species